AGAUCACAAUCUGUUCUUAAAUUUGUUUCAUGUCCUGAGGACUUGACUUAAUAAUUUUCAGGGUGGAGGUCCCAAAAUAUGGUCAGACAAAAUGCAGUUUGACCCCAUUUUGUGGUCAGAGAUAGUCAGAGAGAAAUAUGGGUUGCAUUCCAUUUGUGGCUAAGGGUCCUGCCAAGCUGCCACCAGCCUCAGGGGAAUUACAUUGGCCAUUAAAAGGAAC